rnacentral:rRNA from 1 species
UGAUCAUGGCUCAGAUUGAACGCUGGCGGCAGGCCUAACACAUGCAAGUCGAACGGUAACAGGAAGCAGCUUGCUGCUUUGCUGACGAGUGGCGGACGGGUGAGUAAUGUCUGGGAAACUGCCUGAUGGAGGGGGAUAACUACUGGAAACGGUGGCUAAUACCGCAUAACGUCGCAAGACCAAAGAGGGGGACCUUCGGGCCUCUUGCCAUCAGAUGUGCCCAGAUGGGAUUAGCUUGUUGGUGAGGUAACGGCUCACCAAGGCGACGAUCCCUAGCUGGUCUGAGAGGAUGACCAGCCACACUGGAACUGAGACACGGUCCAGACUCCUACGGGAGGCAGCAGUGGGGAAUAUUGCACAAUGGGCGCAAGCCUGAUGCAGCCAUGCCGCGUGUAUGAAGAAGGCCUUCGGGUUGUAAAGUACUUUCAGCGGGGAGGAAGGUGUUGUGGUUAAUAACCGCAGCAAUUGACGUUACCCGCAGAAGAAGCACCGGCUAACUCCGUGCCAGCAGCCGCGGUAAUACGGAGGGUGCAAGCGUUAAUCGGAAUUACUGGGCGUAAAGCGCACGCAGGCGGUCUGUCAAGUCGGAUGUGAAAUCCCCGGGCUCAACCUGGGAACUGCAUUCGAAACUGGCAGGCUUGAGUCUUGUAGAGGGGGGUAGAAUUCCAGGUGUAGCGGUGAAAUGCGUAGAGAUCUGGAGGAAUACCGGUGGCGAAGGCGGCCCCCUGGACAAAGACUGACGCUCAGGUGCGAAAGCGUGGGGAGCAAACAGGAUUAGAUACCCUGGUAGUCCACGCCGUAAACGAUGUCUACUUGGAGGUUGUGCCCUUGAGGCGUGGCUUCCGGAGCUAACGCGUUAAGUAGACCGCCUGGGGAGUACGGCCGCAAGGUUAAAACUCAAAUGAAUUGACGGGGGCCCGCACAAGCGGUGGAGCAUGUGGUUUAAUUCGAUGCAACGCGAAGAACCUUACCUGGUCUUGACAUCCACAGAACUUUCCAGAGAUGGAUUGGUGCCUUCGGGAACUGUGAGACAGGUGCUGCAUGGCUGUCGUCAGCUCGUGUUGUGAAAUGUUGGGUUAAGUCCCGCAACGAGCGCAACCCUUAUCCUUUGUUGCCAGCGGUCCGGCCGGGAACUCAAAGGAGACUGCCAGUGAUAAACUGGAGGAAGGUGGGGAUGACGUCAAGUCAUCAUGGCCCUUACGACCAGGGCUACACACGUGCUACAAUGGCGCAUACAAAGAGAAGCGACCUCGCGAGAGCAAGCGGACCUCAUAAAGUGCGUCGUAGUCCGGAUUGGAGUCUGCAACUCGACUCCAUGAAGUCGGAAUCGCUAGUAAUCGUGGAUCAGAAUGCCACGGUGAAUACGUUCCCGGGCCUUGUACACACCGCCCGUCACACCAUGGGAGUGGGUUGCAAAAGAAGUAGGUAGCUUAACCUUCGGGGGGGCGCUUACCACUUUGUGAUUCAUGACUGGGGUGAAGUCGUAACAAGGUAACCGUAGGGGAACCUGCGGUUGGAUCACCUCCUUA